GGGAACUGUGGUGACGGCCUUCG
rnacentral:piRNA from 1 species